rnacentral:lncRNA from 1 species
CCACCCCCCAACCCCCGAUCGCAGCAAAUCACCGCUCGGCGGCUAUUACCNNNNNNNNNNCCCCCCCCCCGCCGGGGGUGAGCAGCCCUUGCCGGUGCCCCGGGGGAGCGUCCCGGCCCCGCAGCCCGUUCCUGCUCCUGCCGCGGCGCCGGGAAGCGAAGGGGAAGGAGCAGCGCGGGGGGUGCUGCCGGCGGGGUGUGUGUGUGUGUCUCCUUCAACGAACCCCUUCCACCCUUCCGACCCGCACCGCCGGCCCUCAGAGGGGGAGGACGCCAAGAAGCCCUCGGUUUUAGCCGGUGCCUUACCGGGGCCGGGUGCCCCGAUGGGGCGGGCAAGGCCGCGGGGCGCCCUCCCGCCCUUCACCGGGCGGGGCGGGGCUGGGCGGGGCCGUCCGCCUCACACCUGUGCGCGCGGGGCAGGCGACGCCAUCUUCCUCACGGCCUUGCCGCCCGCGCAGCCCGCGCGUUUUCCAGGAGAACGGGCUCCGAAAGGGCGACCCGAGCCGCAGGAAACCGGACCGUGGUGUCAGCGAACCCCUGAGGGGUGCGGGUACAGCUGGAAGCCCAGUAAGUUCGCUUGGAAGCAGCUGUUCCCGAGGAGCCGGCAGAGGCUUCGUGCCUGGCCGGGCAGCCGGCUCCCUCCAGCCCCGCCGGCAGCGGGCAGGGCCGGCAGGCAGAGCCGCCGCCGGGCGGAGGGCAGAGCUGCGCCUUCCUCCGGGGUCACCGGCAGCGGCUGGCUCGGCGGCAGCAUCUCGGACGGCAGCGGCAGUGCCGCCCCCGGCAGGGAGCGCCUUGGCCGGCCCCGUCCUUCCCGCCAGGGGGGAGACAGAGAUCGGGAAGCGCUGAGAGCCAUGGCUGGAGCAGGGCGAAGGGCUGCAACAGGUUCCAUUGCAAAGAAGGCCCCGAGACUGAAGGCUUUAUCCUGUCUUACUCAAGAAAAAUACCUAUUCAAGUCAGCGAGUAGUUUGAUUGAAUGA